rnacentral:piRNA from 1 species
GAAAUGUCUAAGCAGACCUGACAGUCCAAC